UAGUUGUGCACCUCCGAACGUUUCAAGAACUGUGGAAAGGUGUUGGGUUCGAAGAAGGAAAAGCUAGGACGAUAACUCUAUCGUUGUAGUCUUCUUACCCAUGGGAAAGUAGAGCUUUAAAGUCCCCGCAGAGCGGUUAAUGUACAGAGGACUCUAGCGAGUCAACUCGCAGUACACCGAUCAAAAUUGCCAUCAAGCAAUCCAUCAACAGUCUGUUCAAAGACAUUUCAACCAUCAACAGUCUUUUUCAUCAUUCAAUACAACUACCUAAUGAACAGACAUUAUACACUUCUGGCUAAUCCUGGUUUUUAGCAAACUAUUUUCAUUUGGUUUUCCUAUGUCUCAACUCAACCUUCUCCAAUCUCUUGCCAUUCAGAUGGCUUGGGAACUCUUUUUGGAUCUGACAUGCCAUCAUAUUUGGAGGGUGCCACUUUUGGAAUUGCUUCCUCUAUUUUUACGCCCAUCCACCUCACAUAACCAAGAAAGAAGAAUAAUUCCCAAUCACAGGAAGGAAAGCAGCAAUGUUCAUGGUUGGCAUGUAAUUUUUGUCCAGGAAUGGAAUCUAUCUUCAGAAAUCCAGCAGGUUCUGACAGAUUCUCGAGAACAGUGCUUUUCAAGGGAACUUGGCAUGCAAGAAUUAAGUGAGAGAAGCUUUUCCUGGACUGGCAAAAAAGCAGCUGAGAAACCAGAACUUGUUUAAUUUCUGCACUGCAGCUUCUAAAAGCCGUAUGAACCGGGCCAACAGAGGAUGCCAAUCCAAAUAGCUCUUAAAGGAAAAGCCAGAUAAUAUUUUUCUAUGAAUCCUGGACCCUAAAAUGUUGAUACAUUGUGGCGCCAUACAGAUUUCCAUGGUGCAAAAAGCAUAGAAGAGUUCAUCCGGCUAGAUCAUUAUUUUUCUGAUUAUAAUAGUUUCAUUUCCUUCAUGAGCGGCUUACUGUUAUUUUUUUAAAAUUUAAAUGUAAAAAGAAUCUGUAAUUAUUUCAGGUGGAAAGAACUACCUGAAUUUGUUAUAUUGCUGUUUAAGUAAAUAUUUAUUAGAAGACUUUCAUUGAUACAUGAAUAUUGUGUGAUAGAGA